AUCUGAGACCCAGCAAGCAGAUGAACUCUCAAGGAACCAGAAGAGAGGAGGGUCCUCAGGCUGCCUGAAUAUGAAGACAUUGGCCAAGGGAGGGUUUAGCAAGAAUUCAGGCGUGUGCUGAGGGAAUCUGUCCUCGGGGAGUUCAUCCUGGAGAGGGGCCUGUUCUGGCAGAAGCCCUAGCCCCUAGCCUGCUGUCUGGCUUGGAAGAAGCACACGGGAAGUGUUGAACUGAAUUCCAAAUCAGGAGGUGAAGAUGGUUCUCCUCUGAGGUCUGCAUUGCUGAGGCCUCAGGCAUGUGACAGAGGCUGGCUUUGGAAAGGAAGGUCUCGAGUUUGUUCUGGCCCUGCUGAGUUUUGGAUCCUCAGGACUGUCAGGUUCUUCCUGACUUGCAGAUGGUCACCUUCUUGCAGUGUCCUCACAUAGUGGAGCAAGAGAAAGAUGAUGAAAGCAAGGCCCAGAGACACCAAGUAACCUGCAAGCCCACACCACACAGCUAGAAACGGUGGAGACAGCGGAGCCUGGCUCCUGGUCACUGUGCGUGUCAUCCUGGUUCCCAGCAUCAGCAGAUGUGUGUGAGGGAGGGAAACGGUCCUCAGUGACUCACAAGUCAGGGGUAGCUAACACUUUAGGAUACUAACACCCCCACCAAGUAGAAGAAGUUAGCUGCAUGCCGGCCACAAGCACAUAGAACGCAGACUGAUUUGAAUCAGAAGUUUGAUGAUGUUGACUCCUGAUUACCUCACCACCAACCAAUCAGAAAAAUGUCUAUGAGCUGAUCACGUACGCCACAACCUUCUCCCUCACCCUGUCUUUAAAAGCCUUUCCCUGAAAGCCAUCAGGGAGUUCAGAUCGUUUCAGCAUUAGCUGUCCAUACUCCUUGCAUGGACUUGCAAUAGAUGCUGCACUUCCCUUUGCCGCUACCCGGUGUCAGUAGAUUGACUUUACUGUGAAUGGGUGAGUGAACCCAAAUUUGGUUUGGUAACAAUUUUACCUUGAUUUUUUUCUUUUGUUCAUUUCCCUGUGAAAUUAGUUCUCCUGCACAUUAGGACACAUGGUUCAGGAUAGUUUUCUAACUUCAUGGAGCUCCCUCCUCUAUUGUUUCUGUGAAGCAUUCUAAAAAGUGGUGGCUUGGUCUCUGACAUUUCCUGCUCUACCACCGCUCUUUCAGAGCUCAGUCACUAUUGGAUUGGGCAAAACCCCUUCCAGUUUCAUCUGCUGUCCUCAGUGGCCUGCUGAACUUCCAGUAAAUACCUAUUGGCAAUUCUGUUGUUCUCCUGUUUUCAAGUUGUCAGAUAUCCACUUGUUUUCCUUUGCUUCCCCCACACCGACCCCAAUAGCAUGUGGGUGUCGUGAUCCAGUAUUUUGUCCUCACCCCACUGGUACUUUGGGUUCAUAGGGAUAAUUUGGCACUUAAUUUUGUUAUAAAUACUGUUGAUGAGAUUUUUCUGUCUAGUUGCUAUGGUUGUUUCUAUGAGGAGAAUUGAGUAAAAACUCUUCCACCAACACCAACCUCCCAGAAUCCUUGACUAAACUUUCAAAUGCAAAAUAAUAAAUAAGUAAAUAAAUAAAAUAAAAUCGGGGCGGGGAUUGUAAAAAUCUUAGUUAAAAAUACAGGUGAAUUAUUUCGUAAUCUUGAGGUGCAAAAGGUCUUUCUAAACAUAGUAUUAACCAAACAUUAAAGAAACAAAAAAGAAAAAUUAUGUAUUUGACUACGUAAAAAUUAGGUAUCUGUGUACAAAAUCCAGCAUAGACAAAACGAAAGACAAAACAUAAACAGGAGCAAAUGUGUAGUUCAUGAGAAAAGAAUACUAUUCUUAACAUGUGUACUCUUACACAUUAAUUUUAAAAAUUAACUCCCAAUUCAUAAGAAAUAAGAGGAAUGAGAAAUUACAAAAAAACAUAAAUUAACAAUCGUUUUAAGAGUAUGGGAUUUUUAAUUUAAAAAAAUAAUCGGCAUAACUUUUCUGGAGGGCAAUUUGGUAAUGUAUGUGUAAAACCCCUUAAAAAAAUUCCCUCUUACCCAGUAAUAAUACUUUAAGAAUUUAUCCUGUGGAAAUAAUCACUCAAUUGUUGCAAAGACGUAUAAAGGAGGUUCAUGAAAGCAUUGUAUUAUAUGAGAAAUGUUGAAAAAAAUCUAAAUGUGAUUCAUUCAUUGAGGGGUUUGUUAAAUCAUUGUUAGUUGAAAUAAUGGGACACGUCUCAGUCAUUACAAAUGAUGACAUAGGGCUAAAUUUGACAUGGAGAGAAGUCAAUGAUAUAUUGAGUGAAAAGCAAAAAAAUUUAAAACGGCCAUCAUAAUGUGGUAAUACGAAGACAUUAUUUGUUCAAAAUAUAAGCAUGUGUUAAUGUAUAGGAAAAUUCUGGUUGGAUACUAUAAGAAAUGUCGACUGGUUUCCUGGGGCAACGUGGGCCGCCUACUGGAGGGGUGGGUAACAUGCACAGCUUUCACUGCUUUCUACCCUGCCCAGAUGAAUGUGUAUCAUAUUUACAAUCUGAAAAAAUAUUCCGUUGAAAAUUUACAAGGCCACCUUCUGUAAUUAUGAGGCCUGAUUUAUCCACCCUCUUCCUGAACUCAUGUUUGUAGCCUACAGUCUCUAUCACACAAUGUGAGACUGAAUCACAUGCCUUAGUCAUGUGUUAGUCACUAAUGGCUUCAUGAAUGUUACUCAAGUCUUGCCUACCUUCAAUGAAAGCUCGAGACUGAAGGUU